AUGUUGGCCAGGCUGGUCUUGAACUCCUGAUCUCAAGUGACCUGCCCGCCUCAGGAUUACAGGUGUGAGCCACCAUGCCCAGCCUGAGAACCACUGAUUUUGAUAAAACCAAAAUCUUCAUGGAGUUUCCACCAUUCAAUCUUAGGUCUAUACCCCAGGGCUCCACCCAUGUCUGUCUUCAAGGGGGCAGUAGCUGAGAGGCUGAACUUUAGAAUUCAUGCUUCUUUCCAUCUAGUCCACGCUCAAGGUCUCCCAGAGCAUGGGAUUCCCACCCAUCUCUCCCCAUCCCUCCUCUAAACAAACCCCAUUUGGUUAAUGUUUCUGAAAGACUGAAGGCCCCCAAAUUCCCAGGUGUGGCCUGAGCAGUACGGAGGUCCCUGUGGACCUGUCACCUCCCCCUUGAGACACGCCAUUUCUAUUCCCACCUCUGGGUCUAUCUAAGCCCCCAGCCACCUGUCCCAUAGUUCCUGUCCCUCAUCCCUCCUGGCGUUGUGAUUUGAGUGUGCAAAACCUCUCUGGGCUCCUGAAGAGCAGGCAUCCUACCAAGAAAUAGCAAUGCAGGCAAAGAAAACCUCCAACGUAUUAAGCUGGCUUCGUUAGGAGGCCAACUUCUGAAAAUUCAAUUUGCUGGUGGUAGAAACAGGAUAUUGAGUCUGGCCAGGAUGGGCUCUGAGGAGGGCAUCUGAGGGGGAAGAAAGGAGGCAGCAACCUGCGGGGGUAACGGUAACGUUGGGUACAUUCCUCGGCAACACUAAAACCCACUGCUAAUCACAAACAGAUUCCUGCCUGCCCAGGGGCUUUCUUUGUUCACUCCGAUUUCUCCCUCCAAACAUGACACUGAAUCCACCAGGCUCUGCCUCUCUUGGACUUCUGUCACUUCUGUGGGCCUCAGUUUCCCUGUGCUAUAUGAGAGGACUGGGCUAGGGUCUGUAAUCCAAGCCUAAUAUCCCAGGAUCUAAACUUCUCUGACUUAAAAGUCCCCAAGAAUCUGGAAUUCCAGGAUUAUAACAUGCCCAGAUUUUAUGACGGCAGAAUUUGAUGAGUCAAUGAUGGCAGGUUCUAAAGUGCUAUGAUUUUAAGACUCUGUGGCUUGAAGAUCCUGACCUUGUGACUUUCUACGAUUCUAAAAUUUGAAGAGUGUAAGUCUCAACGACUUUAAGUGUCUGUGAGGCAGUGCUGUGUGCUUUAGAGCCAGGCGGCCAGUGACCCUGGGCAAGUUACACCUUUCAGUGCCUCCGUCUUCACAUCUGUGAAGUGGGGGGUCACAUUGUUACUACCUUCUGGGGUGGUUGUGAGGAUUAAAGGCGUUGAUAUUUGUAAACAAUGUCUGGAGUAGUAAGUACUCAGUAAAUGUUUUGUACCUAUCAUUAUUCUAAAAUGAACAGUUUCUACAGCCUCAGAAUCUGAGAUGGACCUCAAAGGCCCCAGAGUUGUAAGUUUCAAAGAAUCCAUUGUUGAAAGAUUCAAUGACAUACGAAUUCUGUCAGCUGGCUAUGGACAUACCAUGUUUGGGCGUCCUUGACCCAGGAUCAUGGGAUUUACCAUGGGCAAGCUGAAGAGGCUGGCUGGCCAGCCUGAACCUGCCACUCUCAGCCACAAAACCAAUGAGCAUGACAAGUUUGGGACCCUCAACUCCUGAGAAGUGCCCUCCUCUUCCCCCAACACUUACCACUGGGGAUAACUUGACCUUCUGGCUAAAGGCUCAUUGACCUUGACUAGCUCCUGGAAUCCAUAAAGACACAGGAAGACCAUCACUCCCCUAGCUUGGAACUCCAUUCCUGAAGGACCUGCUGUGGCUCCCUACUGUCUUUCAAACCAAGUUCUAUUUCUCAGUUCUUUUGGAGCCCCUUAAUAUCUUGUUCACUUCCAGGUAAGUAAAGAUAAUCCGGAAUGGGGAAGGGAGAACUGGGAUGGUUCAUCGGAAGUUACUUCUAGGUCCAGGUGCAUUUGUUCAUUCUUAUUCACAACACAGAUAUUAAAUAUCUAUUAUAUGCCAGUCUCUCUUCUGGGCUCUGAGGACACACAAGUGAAUAAGACAGACAAGGUCCCUGUUCUUGAGACCUCACAAGACUCCCUGACUCACUGUAGAGCAUUAUUCUCAGGGUAGAAGAGUACAGGCCAUUUCCCAGCUGCACAACCUUGAACCAAUGCUCUGGGCGUCGUUUGUAAAAUGGGUCAAUAACACUACCUACCAGAUAAAGUUAUUGCAAAGAUUAAAAGAGAUGGUAAAGAGCUUGGCACAGUGCACGGCACAUAGUCUACAAUCCAUGAAAGCUGCUUAUUAUUAUUAUUGUUGUUACUUCAUUUCUACCUCCAGCUCCUUUUACAGCACUUAGUGUGGUGGCUAAAAGCCCGACAGACCUGGACUCAAGUCCUGGGAUAUUAAAGAUGGAUAAUCAUCGUGCCUGCUUCCCAAGGCUGCUUACCUGGCAUGUUGGCCAUACCCAGCCAGGGCUCAGAUGAAAAAAACAAACAAAAAACUUCCCCAAAACAAGAAUAAGGAGCAGAAACAAAAACUCUGUCUUUGAGGAAAUCGAGAGACAUUUGUAACCCUGAACUACAAAGGAGGGAAAUGGAUGAAGUGGCCAGUGACAUAACCGAGAGGAAGAAAGUCAAAGCUAAAUGGAUGGGGCGUUGGCGGUGUUUCUUGUGUUUUGCUGUUCUGAAUAAAGCUGC
rnacentral:lncRNA from 1 species